UUUCCCUUGAAUGUAUUCAACUUCCGGCGGUAAAACUAAAAUUUCACACAUGUGAAAGUCAAAAACAAUGUCAAUAAUAAAUUCCUUGUUUCUUCCUCGCUUAUUAAGCCGUCAACUCGGCACUUUAACUCGUUUUCAUCCCACGGUCUCACUUCGCCCUAUUUUAAGACAAUCUUUAUCCCCUCAUGCAUGUGUUUUCAUACAACCCCUAUCGUGUUUGACGUCGAAACAUUCAUCAUCUCAACAAGGUUUGUUUUCUCCGGGACACCAACAGACAAGAUGGAAACCGGCACCACUUUACAGAAGAAAGAGUUCUCAGGAACAGAUGGAUCCAAGGAUCAUUUACAUGGUUUACGCUUCCAUAACCAUUGGUGCUCUACUUCUCGGCACUAUUUUGUUUUCUCGCCUGAAAAUUAUGUACAAAAAAUUUGUUCAUGAUAUUGACACUUAUUACGAUGCACCUUUCGGUCGACGACAGAAGCUGAUAAAAUACAAAGGGGUUGUCCUACCCGCAAUGUUAGAAAACGAUUUACCUAAGAUUCGAGACUUUGACGUUAGACCAGAUGACGUGUGGGUAGUGUCUUGGCCACGGUCAGGAACUACAUGGGUUCAAGAAAUUGUCUACCUCAUCCAUUCAAAUCUUGACAUUUCACAAGAAGAAGAGAAAAACAUUGAACAACGAUUCCAUUUUCUUGAAAAUAUUUAUCCUGGAUUGCCUGCCAUAGCUGCUAAGGAAUCGCCUCGACUGAUCAAAAGCCAUUUGCCCUUCCAUCUCCUUCCAGAACAGCUUUCAACAGUCAAACCAAAUAUAAUUUAUGUUGUUAGAAAUCCAAAGGAUAUUCUAAUUUCAUACUACAACUUCCUAAAAAUGUUGACACCUUUGAAAUUUGUUGGAACAUUUGAAGAAUUCUGUGAUAGAUUUACCAAAGAUAAAGUGUAUUAUUCCCCAUGGGGUAAACAUGUGAGAACUGCUGUGGAUUUGAACCAACAACAUCAUAACAUCCUCAUUGUUCAGUAUGAAGAUUUACAUAAGGAUCUUGCUGGAAAUGUGCAGCGUAUUGCCAAAUUUCUUGGUAAGGAGUUAACACCGGAACAAUUGUUGACUAUUUGCCAGAGAUGUCUGUUUAAGAAUAUGCGCCAGAAUAAAAGUGUCAACUACUCGUGGUGGGACGGCUAUGGGAUCCGAGAUCAAACCCAGACACAAUUUCUUCGGCAAGGUAAAGUUGGAGAUUGGAAGCAUUAUUUAACACCAUUUUUCAGUCGAAGAGUUGAGAAAAUGGUGAAAGAUAACUUAACAGAUGCUAACCUAAAUAUUGAAUAUGAAUUGACUGUUCCAUCAACCGUGGAGUGACAAGAUUAUAAGUUAACUACACAAGCGUACACAAUAUUGACAUCCCUUCAAGGGUGGAAUAUAUACACCAGAAAAACCAGGAAACCAGCCUUUUGAUCCUUACCAAGUAAUGUGGACUAACCAUUGUUUACCACUGGUCUAAUUUGCUGGGCAUCUGCACUACCAGAAUAAAGCAGAAUAUAAUGAAAGAUCUUGUUGAGAGUCAGUGUCAUUUCACUGCGGCCA
rnacentral:misc_RNA from 1 species